UACGUAGGGUGCAAGCGUUAUCCGGAAUUAUUGGGCGUAAAGAGCUCGUAGGCGGUUUGUCGCGUCUGCUGUGAAAACUGGAGGCUCAACCUCCAGCCUGCAGUGGGUACGGGCAGACUAGAGUGCGGUAGGGGAGAUUGGAAUUCCUGGUGUAGCGGUGGAAUGCGCAGAUAUCAGGAGGAACACCGGUGGCGAAGGCGGGUCUCUGGGCAGUAACUGACGCUGAGGAGCGAAAGCGUGGGGGAGCGAACAGGA
rnacentral:rRNA from 1 species